CAGAUCUCACAUCCUCUUUUCUUAUUCUUGAUAGAGGAGGAAAUGGUUUCCAUAUAAGCCAUUAAGAAAAAAUAUAAAAUGUUGUUAAUUCCUCAUGUGGGUCACAGAAAUUUAUUGGCUUCCGAUAUCUGCGGAUUCUAGUAUAGAUAGUUUAUAAGAAAUGAAAAGCUAGAAAUAGUCAUGAAAAUCAUUAUAGUUUAUGUGUUAACAUUCAAGUCUAUUAUUUUAGAUUUGUGAAAAUUGUAACCGCCAAGGGGGCUUUCUUCAAAGCGAAACGAAGGCUGGAAUGUUGUUUUUAUUUUGUUAUUUUUGUUUUUAUUUAUUACUGGAGCAAUAAGAAUAUAAUUUUUAUUUUAAUUA
rnacentral:lncRNA from 1 species